rnacentral:lncRNA from 1 species
CUGAUAAGGAAAAUGCUGAUCACAUUGAUCAACAUAAUUCUGAGGAAAAUUGGAAGAAUAAAAAGUCAAAACCUAUUGAAUCAGAGGGAGAUAAGAUUUUGAAUCCGAGAGAUUACCACAAUCCUAGUAAUAAAAAAGAUAAAAUGGAUUUUGAACAAGAUAAAAAUGAUGGCACUUUCAACAAGCCCCAGGCAUCAGUUACUCUUAAAAGUUUCAGUAAAGACAACUCUGAAAUGCUGUCUUCUGAUGGAUAUUGUCCAAACAAUAUUAACAGCGCAGAUACUUCUACAGAAAACAAAUUGCUGUUGAAUCACGGGGAACUUGUUAUUCCCAGGGCUAAGGAUUCAGGCAUGCGGUCGAGAGAUGAUACUGUAAAAAAUAUCAACGAAAAAACAGCUAAGGACACAGAUACUGUAUCGGGUAGUGAAAUAAGGUCUAAAGGAAUAGAUGAAGUAAGUAUGAUAGAAAAUUCUGUUUCAGUGGGGAAGUCUUCUGUCUCAGAUUCAUCAGAAGAAGAAUUUUAUCCAUUAAGAAAGGUGAAUUGCACAAAAACACACCUAGGUUGUGCAGUGUCCAGAGAUACAACUUGUUCAAUCAAAAACAGUGACACUAGUCUUCCACCCAGUAUGACUUCUUCAGAUGGUGCCAGACAUGAGAUGUUCCCUGUGGUCACAAUAGAGAAAUGCUCAAAAGAUAAAAAAGCUGAAGUUACUGACUCCUCUGUAAAUGAAAUGAUUGAAAAGACAUGGGAACAUUCAUAUGCAGCAGUAUGGCCCUGCACUAGUGGGAAUACAACCUUAAAAAUAGAAGCCUCCCCAACAAUAGAAAAGUUAGAAGAAAAGCAAACAGAAGAAAAUGUUUCAAUAAUUGCUUUAUUGCCAAGUCAGGAUUUAUCUAACAAGAAAACUAUCUCUAGAAAGUCCCCUAUGAAUGAGCCAGAUGUUAAUGAUGAUACAGCUGUACUGCAUACAAAAUCCCCUGUUGAUAGGAAAGUCCACUCUAACUUACUUGUAAAAAAACC